UACGUAGGGAGCAAGCGUUGUCCGGAAUCAUUGGGCGUAAAAGCGCGCGUAGGUGGCUUCAUAAAGUCCGUUGUGAAAGUCAAAGGCUCAACCUUUGAAAGCCGAUGGAUACUGUGAAGCUAGAGUACGGGAAGAGGCGAAGUGGAAUUCCUGGUGUAGCGUGGAAUGCGCAGAUAUCAGGAGGAACACCAAUAGCGAAGGCAGCUCGCUGGGACGUUACUGACACUAAGGCGCGAAAGCGUGGGGAGCGAACGAGG
rnacentral:rRNA from 1 species